rnacentral:piRNA from 1 species
UUCCCUCAUUGAGGUCCAGGAAAAGUCGUUUU